GGAUGUGAGGGCUAUCUGGCUGCCACAUCUGUCGCCCCAUUUGUCACCAGGGUUGAUUUGGCUGAUCUGCCUGGCUAGGUGGGUGUCCCCUUCCUCCCUUUGUGCUCCGUGUGCAUCCCUCCUGGAGCUGCACAGUCUGGGUCACUCAAUCAAAGAGGAGGACUUUCCUGGAAUAGAGGAGGACCUCUCUUCUCUCAAGGGUAUAUGAAUGGCUGCACUCCCCUGCUAGAAGCUCUAAAUAUGGUCUCCUAAUGAAAACCAUAAAAUCCAGAAAGAUACUUGUUUAUUUAUUUAUUUAUUAACAAAUUAUACUAUUUUU
rnacentral:snRNA from 1 species